UCAGUUCAGAUUGCAGGCUGCAACCCGCCUGCAUGAAGUCGGAAUUGCUAGUAAUCGCGGAUCAGCAUGCCGCGGUGAAUACGUUCCCGGGCCUUGUACACACCGCCCGUCAAACCAUGAGAGUCGCCAACACCCGAAGUCCGCUUUGCGGCCUAAGGUGGGGGAGAUGAUUGGGGUUAAGUCGUAACAAGGUAAC
rnacentral:rRNA from 1 species